AUUGAACGCUGGCGGCAUGCCUUACACAUGCAAGUCGAGCGCGAAAGGGGGCAACCCCGAGUAGAGCGGCGGACGGGUGAGUAACACAUCGGAACGUGCCCAGUAGUGGGGGACAACCUCGGGAAAUCGAGGCUAAUACCGCAUACGACCCACGGGUGAAAGCGGGGGACCGCAAGGCCUCGCGCUAUUGGAGCGGCCGAUGUCCGAUUAGCUAGUUGGCGGGGUAAGAGCCCACCAAGGCGACGAUCGGUAGCUGGUCUGAGAGGACGACCAGCCACACUGGGACUGAGACACGGCCCAGACUCCUACGGGAGGCAGCAGUGGGGAAUUUUGGACAAUGGGGCAACCCUGAUCCAGCCAUGCCGCGUGCAGGAAGAAGGCCUUCGGU
rnacentral:rRNA from 1 species